CAUGUGGGGUCAGGGAUUGGUCACAUGAGGUUGUAGCUCCAAAAUGUGACACCUGAGGACAUGAGGGUGACAGGAGGAGGUGACAAGUUCAGUGUCACCAAUGUCUGGGACCAGCUGUCCCUUUUGGGAUCGGGGUGUUGAGGGUUUGGGAUCACCCCGUGUGGGGUCAGGGGUUGGUCACUCCUUGUUGUAGCUCCAAGAGGUGACACCUGAGGGUGACAAGUUCAGUGUCACCAAUUUGUGGGACCAGUUGCCCCUUUUGGGAUCGGGGUGAGGGUGUGGAGGUUUUGGGGUCACCCCGUGUGGGGUCAGGGGUUGGUCACAGGGGGUUGUAGCUCCAAGAGGUGACACCUGAGGGUGACAAGUUCAGUGUCACCAAUCUGUGGGACCAGUUGCCCCUUUUGGGAUUGGGGUGUGGAGGUUUUGGGGUCA